rnacentral:snoRNA from 11 species
AUCUGUAAAAGGAAGACAAAUGUCACGUUUGAUAGGAAGAGUAUUAAACAAAAUAUGUGUGUCUCAAGAG